GAUGAACGCUGGCGGUAUGCUUAACACAUGCAAGUCGAACGGAUGUUUUCGGACAUUAGUGGCGGACGGGUGAGUAACGCGUGAGAAUCUGCCUAUAGGUUGGGGACAACAGAUGGAAACGUCUGCUAAUACCCGAUGUGCCGAGAGGUAAAAGCUUUAGUGCCUGUAGAUGAGCUCGCGUCCGAUUAGCUAGUUGGUUGGGUAAAGGCUGACCAAGGCGACGAUCGGUAGCUGGUCUGAGAGGAUGAUCAGCCACACUGGGACUGAGACACGGCCCAGACUCCUACGGGAGGCAGCAGUGGGGAAUUUUCCGCAAUGGGCGAAAGCCUGACGGAGCAAUACCGCGUGCGGGACGAAGGCUUUUGGGUCGUAAACCGCUUUUGUUAGGGAAGAAGAACUGACGGUACCUAACGAAUCAGCAUCGGCUAACUCCGUGCCAGCAGCCGCGGUAAUACGGGGGAUGCAAGCGUUAUCCGGAAUUAUUGGGCGUAAAGCGUCCGCAGGUGGUUUAUCAAGUCUGCUGUCAAAGCGUGGGGCUUAACCCCAUAAAGGCAGUGGAAACUGAGAGACUAGAGUACGGUAGGGGUAGCGGGAAUUCCCAGUGUAGCGGUGAAAUGCGUAGAUAUUGGGAAGAACACCAGCGGCGAAGGCGCGCUACUGGGCCGAAACUGACACUCAUGGACGAAAGCUAGGGGAGCGAAAGGGAUUAGAUACCCCUGUAGUCCUAGCUGUAAACGAUGACAACUAGGUGUUGCGCG
rnacentral:rRNA from 1 species